rnacentral:lncRNA from 1 species
GGAUGAUGCAUCGAACGAUUGAAUCGAUCGUCAUCGUUGACCGGAAUCACGUACCAGGACAAAUCGAAUUCGAAGCUGGUUAACUCGUUCUCAUUGUCUUAGUCGGUAGUCGUUAAAAGUCGACCUAGUUACGCGAAUACUCCUUCAUAAUUCAUAACGUACGGUGAGAAAGGUUCGGUAGACUAACAUGUUUCGGAAGAUGAAAAAAAAAGGAAAAAAAGAUACCGAAGAUAGAACGAAACCUAUAAAAAGAAGAUAAAAAAAUGUCCGAGAAACCAUUAAAUGGUGUCAUCGAGCUGAGCUGACGCGACGUGAUCGACCUGACGUUGUCCAGUACGAAAAAUUCGUAUGCUCGUUGAGUACA